rnacentral:rRNA from 1 species
GACGAACGCUGGCGGCGUGCCUAAUACAUGCAAGUCGAGCGGAUGAGGGUAGCUUGCUAUCUGAUUCAGCGGCGGACGGGUGAGUAAUGCCUAGGAAUCUGCCUGGUAGUGGGGGACAACGUUUCGAAAGGAACGCUAAUACCGCAUACGUCCUACGGGAGAAAGUGGGGGAUCUUCGGACCUCACGCUAUCAGAUGAGCCUAGGUACGAUUAGCUAGUUGGUGAGGUAAAGGCUCACCAAGGCGACGAUCGUUAACUGGUCUGAGAGGAUGAUCAGUCACACUGGAACUGAGACACGGUCCAGACUCCUACGGGAGGCAGCAGUGGGGAAUAUUGGACAAUGGGCGAAAGCCUGAUCCAGCCAUGCCGCGUGUGUGAAGAAGGUCUUCGGAUUGUAAAGCACUUUAAGUUGGGAGGAAGGGCAGUAAGUUAAUACCUUGCUGUUUUGACGUUACCGACAGAAUAAGCACCGGCUAACUUCGUGCCAGCAGCCGCCGUAACAC